rnacentral:rRNA from 1 species
AUUGAACGCUGGCGGCAUGCCUUACACAUGCAAGUCGAACGGCAGCGGGGACUUCGGUCCGCCGGCGAGUGGCGAACGGGUGAGUAAUGUAUCGGAACGUACCAUUCAGUGGGGGAUGACUAUCCGAAAGGAUAGCUAAUACCGCAUAUUCUGUGAGCAGGAAAGCAGGGGAUCGCAAGACCUUGCGCUGAUUGAGCGGCCGAUAUCAGAUUAGCUAGGUGGUGAGGUAACGGCUCACCAAGGCUACGAUCUGUAGCGGGUCUGAGAGGAUGAUCCGCCACACUGGGACUGAGACACGGCCCAGACUCCUACGGGAGGCGGCAGUGGGGAAUUUUGGACAAUGGGCGCAAGCCUGAUCCAGCCAUGCCGCGUGAGUGAAGAAGGCCUUCGGGUUGUAAAGCUCUUUCGGCCGGGAAGAAAUCGCAUCAGCUAAUACCUGGUGUGGAUGACGGUACCGGAAUAAGAAGCACCGGCUAACUACGUGCCAGCCGCCGCGGUAACAC